rnacentral:rRNA from 1 species
GACGAACGCUGGCGGCGUGCUUAACACAUGCAAGUCGAACGGAAAGGCCCUGCUUUUGUGGGGUGCUCGAGUGGCGAACGGGUGAGUAACACGUGAGUAACCUGCCCUUGACUUUGGGAUAACUUCAGGAAACUGGGGCUAAUACCGGAUAGGAGCUCCUGCUGCAUGGUGGGGGUUGGAAAGUUUCGGCGGUUGGGGAUGGACUCGCGGCUUAUCAGCUUGUGGGUGGGGUAGUGGCUUACCAAGGCUUUGACGGGUAGCCGGCCUGAGAGGGUGACCGGCCACAUUGGGACUGAGAUACGGCCCAGACUGCUACGGGAGGCAGCAGUGGGGAAUAUUGCACAAUGGGCGGAAGCCUGAUGCAGCAACGCCGCGUGCGGGAUGACGGCCUUCGGGUUGUAAACCGCUUUCGCCUGUGACGAAGCGUGAGUGACGGUAAUGGGUAAAGAAGCACCGGCUAACUACGUG